GGCCCCGUAGCUCAGCUGGAUAGAGCACCGGACUUCUAAUCCGACGGUCGCACGUUCGAAUCGUGCCGGGGUCACCA
rnacentral:tRNA from 1 species